AUUGAACGCUGGCGGCAGGCCUAAUACAUGCAAGUCGAACGAGUGGCGGCCGGGUGUGUCAUGUCUGGGAAACUGCCCUAUGGCGGGGGUUACCUCCUGGAAACGGUAGCUAAUACCGCAUACCAUCCGAUGGUCCCAGAUGGGAUUAGCUAGUAGGUGGGGUAACGGCUCACCUCUGAGACGAUCCCUAGCUGGUCUGAGAGGGUGACCGGCCACACUGGAACUGAGACACGGUCCAGACUCCUACGGGAGGCAGCAGUGGGGAAUAUUGCGCAAUGGGAGCAAGCCUGAUGCAGCCAUGCCGCGUGUAUGAAGAAGGCCUUCGGGUUGUAAAGUACUGUCAGCGGGGAGGCGUUACCCGCAGAAGAAGCACCGGCUAACUCCGUGCCAGCAGCCGCGGUAAUAC
rnacentral:rRNA from 1 species